AGAUUGAACGCUAGCGGGAUGCUUUACACAUGCAAGUCGAACGGCAGCGCGGACUUCGGUCUGGCGGCGAGUGGCGAACGGGUGAGUAAUAUAUCGGAACGUGCCCAGUAGCGGGGGAUAACUACGCGAAAGCGUGGCUAAUACCGCAUACGCCCGUACGGGGGAAAGGGGGGGAUCGUCGAACGACCUCUCACUAGUUAGGAGCCGGCGAUAUCGAGUAUUACG
rnacentral:rRNA from 1 species